rnacentral:rRNA from 1 species
AUUGAACGCUGGCGGCAGGCCUAACACAUGCAAGUCGAGCGGAGCGGCGGACGGGUGAGUAAUGCCUAGGAAUCUGCCUGGUAGUGGGGGAUAACGUCCGGAAACGGGCGCUAAUACCGCAUAAUAUCAGAUGAGCCUAGGUCGGAUGAGCUAGUUGGUGGGGUAAAGGCCUACCAAGGCGACGAUCCGUAGCUGGGCUGAGAGGAUGAUCAGUCAAACGGGAACUGAGACACGGUCCAGACUCCUCCGGGAGGCAGCAGAGGGGAAUAUUGGACAGUGGGCGAAAGCCUGAUCCAGCCAUGCCGCGUGUGUGAAGAAGGUCUUCGGAUUGUAAAGCACUUUAAGUUGGGAGGCGUUACCUACAGAAUAAGCACCGGCUAACUUCGUGCCAGCAGCCGCGGUAAUUC